AGGUCUAGCUUGCUAGAUGCUGACGAGUGGCGGACGGGUGAGUAACGCGUGGGAAUCUGCCUUCUAGUGGGGGAUAGCCCGGAGAAAUCCGGAUUAAUACCGCAUACGCCUACGGGGAAAGGCCGGGAGUCUUCGGACCUGGCGCUAGUAGAUGAGCCCGCGUGAGAUUAGCUUGUUGGUGGGGUAAUGGCCUACCAAGGCAACGAUCUCUAGCUGGUCUGAGAGGACGAUCAGCCACACUGGGACUGAGACACGGCCCAGACUCCUACGGGAGGCAGCAGUGGGGAAUAUUGGACAAUGGGCGAAAGCCUGAUCCAGCAAUGCCGCGUGUGUGAAGAAGGCCUGAGGGUUGUAAAGCACUUUCAAUCGUGAAGAAAAGUUAGCAGGCUAAUACCCUCGUGACCUUGACGUUAACGAUACAAGUAGCACCGGCUAACUCCGUG
rnacentral:rRNA from 1 species